rnacentral:rRNA from 1 species
UACGUAGGGUGCGAGCGUUAAUCGGAAUUACUGGGCGUAAAGCGUGCGUAGGCGGUUCGUUAUGUCUGCUGUGAAAUCCCCGGGCUCAACCUGGGAAUGGCAGUGGAAACUGGCGGGCUUGAGUGUGGCAGAGGGGGGUGGAAUUCCGCGUGUAGCAGUGAAAUGCGUAGAGAUGCGGAGGAACACCGAUGGCGAAGGCAGCCCCCCUGGGCUAACACUGACGCUGAGGCACGAAAGCGUGGGGAGCAAACAGG